rnacentral:rRNA from 1 species
AGUGAACGCUGGCGGUAGGCCUAACACAUGCAAGUCGAACGGCAGCACGGUAAGAGCUUGCUCUUACGGGUGGCGAGUGGCGGACGGGUGAGGAAUACAUCGGAAUCUACUUUUUCGUGGGGGAUAACGUAGGGAAACUUACGCUAAUACCGCAUACGACCUACGGGUGAAAGCAGGGGAUCUUCGGACCUUGCGCGAUUGAAUGAGCCGAUGUCGGAUUAGCUAGUUGGCGGGGUAAAGGCCCACCAAGGCGACGAUCCGUAGCUGGUCUGAGAGGAUGAUCAGCCACACUGGAACUGAGACACGGUCCAGACUCCUACGGGAGGCAGCAGUGGGGAAUAGUGGACAAUGGGCGCAAGCCUGAUCCAGCCAUACCGCGUGGGUGAAGAAGGCCUUCGGGUUGUAAAGCCCUUUUGUUGGGAAAGAAGAGCAGCAGGUUAAUACCCCGCUGUUCUGACGGUACCCAAAGAAUAAGCACCGGCUAACUUCGUG